CGUUCCCGGGUCUUGUACACACCGCCCGUCACACCCGAUGGGGAGCGGGGUUUUACCAGAAGUAGGUAGCUUAACCGCAAGGAGGGCGCUUACCACGGUAGGAGUUCGUGACUGGGGGUG
rnacentral:rRNA from 1 species